rnacentral:lncRNA from 1 species
AUUCUGUGAUGAAGUGAGGAACCCAUGUGAAUUUCAGUCGAUGAGAAAGAACACACAGUGUUUAAAGUAUGGGCUUUAUUAUAGACCCACAGAGCUUCGCUGUUGAAAAACAAACACCUCUUUGCUUGGGUUUUUUUUUUUUUUUUCUUUUGAGUGAUGACUUUGUUGACUGGACAAAAGCACACAUAGGUACACUGAAAACACCCAGGAGAUCAGGAUUAACUGGCAAGUUCUCGGAUUCUGUCUGGCAUAGUGUGGGCUUAGCAUGUCGCGCAGCUCAUCUAGAAAGGAAAGGAGGAGAUUGGGUGCGAGCGCUCAGCCAAUAGCGUCACCAAGCAUUUACUGCACCUCUCCAAGAGAGAAGCAGUUUGCGAACAGGUAUCUGGAUUUGUGUAUAAGAGGGCUUGACAUUGGGGAGAUGCCGCAUUGAAUUUCUAAGUUAAAUCAGGCAUCCCUGUGGUCCCAUAACUCAGGAGGGAGAGGCAGAAGGGUCAGGGAAAGGAGAGGUGCAACUUGGCUAAAGAAAGAAAUAUGUGCUUUGGUAAGCAUGUGGGAACUAAACAGUCCCCAGAAAGAUGCAAACAAUGCCAGGGCCCUGGCUGGAGAGUGGGGAUCAGGAAAGGAAGGGAAGAGUGAGGUAAAACCUGUAGGAACAAAAGGGAAGUGAGAAGUAUUAAUAGUGGGAAACCAAGACCAGAAGUUGCAGCGUUCAUCCCUGCUGUGGUGCCAGAAGAAAUGGGCGGCCUCUGUAGAGAUCAGGUGUCCGCAGCAGAGCACUGAAAGGCGACCUUCCCUCCACACUCCCUGAAUGAUCGGCUCGGUGGUUGUGAAGUUUCCCUCUGACAGGGCACCUAAAGGACCGAGGACAGGGGCAAAUGCACAGAACUUAGAGUCCAGGAAACAGAUGGCCAGAUAGGCUGGAGAGAGCACACUUAGCAGAGACCACGUAAUGGAGACUCAGCUCUGGCAGGGCCUGUUGUGUGCUGCUGGAGAAGCAGGAAAGGCGAAAGAUGCCUUUCUACCCCGAGAAGAACAUGGCAGCUGGGGGCUGGGAGGGAAAGCUAGGGCACGGGAGACUCAUUUUGCUUGGGUUGUGUAAAUGAAGAAUUUAGGAAUUCGCAGACUAACAAGAUGUCUCAGUAGGUAACAGAGGCAAAGAAAAAGAAAAUUAGAAAACAUGGGGUUUGUACUCGACACACUAAUGUCUCUUUUUAUUUUCUUUUGUUAUGAAGAAAAAAAAAGCGUGAGGUACACUGGAAAGGUCCUCAGUUUUCUUCACACCUAAGCCACGAAACCGCCAUCUCUCCUAAUAGGACAGAGAUGAGCAAGGUGGACAAAGUGUGAUGUGAGAAGACUGAGUGUUCCUGACUGUUGGGAACAGAUUGAAAUUCUAAGGAAGUCCACGUGUUGUCCCACGGGUGCUCUCAAAGGAGAUUGAGUAUAAGCAGCGGGGGGUCCCAAAGACUUGUCAGGAACUCGCUUUAUGUUGAAAUCGCCACCUUUUUCCUGUUGGAUGUUAUAGGAGAACUCGGGGGAACCAGACGCCCCUUUGCUGGUUCUCUGGAAGUUUCCUGGAACAGAAAUGCAGGAGUGGUCCUCUAGGCUUCCCCUGCUCCCAGAGUUGCCUAUGUUCCACAUACAAUCAAUCGUGUAUCACUAUCCUUGGGCAAUAGCUCACCUCCAGAGUUUACAGAAAGGAGCUUUGCGUCUAUGUCUGGAGGCUGCGAUCUGACAAGCAGAGGGGCUGCCUCCUACGAGCUGUGUUGGUGCUACCUGUUUCUAAUUAUUGAUUCAUAAGAUGGCCACACUCUAGUCAUAGAGCUAGGGCUGAAUAUGAUGGUAUUUGUGUUGGAAUUUGAAAUCUUUGUUCAGAAGACGGUCAGUAUCAGAGCCCGUCUGGGAACCCAGAUUAUUCAUUGUCCCCUUAGGAGGCCAGUGUGGGUUGCAUAAUGUGAGGGUAAAUCUGAGGAGGCACAGGGUACGACUUAACUAGAUCAAUGUCAUCUCAGAGACUCAGGGGCAGUGGCCUAUCAGUGGAAUAGUUGAUUCCUUAUGGCCGUGUGGGGAUCCAGACCGCACAGGGACUGGGUAUCUAUCCCACGCGCCCCUCCGGGGUCUCUAGCUCCUGUGCAGCUUAUUUUGGACUUUCGACUUUGGCACCCCCAGAGUUGGAUGCUUAGUAACUCCAGGAGCACCAGGCGCUUUCUGGGUCCCCCGGGGAUUAACAGCUCCAGGGAAGCCGAGGUCAGAUUUCUGACAGACUCCAAGCUGAAGACAGACAACAGGGAAACAGCAAGGACACACAGCGCAUUUUUAGGGGAAACGGAAAGAACACUGUUUCAUACGAGUCCAGAGAAAGCGGUUUCUGGAUCAGCAACAAGCUCCUGCACCUCUAGUGGGGAGGAGAAGGGGGUGCAGUGUGUGCUUGCUUGAGUGUGUGCACACACAUGCCUUGCGCCUUGGACUGCUUGCUGUUUUUCCAGGCACAUGGGAAGCUGGAAUGUGACUCCAGAAUCCAAGAUGUACGUAGCGUGAGCUCAUACUCCCUUUAUUCUUAGCACCAGCCGGGUCCCGAUGAGAACAUGUAUCUACUCUUAGGUUAAGGAAGGACAGACUUUGAAACUCUGAGGGAGGGCACUGCCAGUAGAAGGGAAAUGUGAAGCACACAGGCAGUUUAAAAUGUCCUAGCGGCCAUAGUGAAAACAGAACAUACGAGUUAAUUUUAAUAAUGCAUGCUGUUUCACCCAAUAUAGUAAAAAGAUUAUUUAAUGAUCUAUUUUAACAUCUUUUUAUUUUGAACCAGGGUUUUGAGAACCAGUGUCUGUUUUUCAGUCGUAGCACAUUUCACUUCAUCCUCGGAGCUCACGUGCUCACGGCACAGGCUCAGAGGAGGAACUGCAGAGAUAGUGUUAGAAAGCAGGACAGGAAAAAACAAGAACAUGUGCCUAGAGGGAGAAAGCCCUCUGAGGAUAAACAGCCUUCCAAGUGAUGGGCUGAUCCAGGUAAUGGGUGCUGGUGGUUUCCAGCUACAUGGGAACUCUCCCCACUCCAAUAAGUUUACAUUCCAGCUAUAUGAGCUGUUUUACCAAAUCUAAACAAGGAAAAACAGAAUCUGAUAAUAUUUACCUCGACAGCUUCCUUCAUUUAUCCAGCACUAAGUGGGGACUCUUCUUCCCUACGUCUCAGGAAUGGGGCUGCUGUACUCUCUGGAUGUUUGAGCUGAUAAUGAUCUUCUGCUCUGGGUAUGGCCAGAGACCAAAGGAAUUGCUGAGACCCAGAUAGCCCUCUAGCACUGUGGCUCCUGGGUUUAAGAUCAGAGGCUAUUUUUUAUGGCACACCUUUUAUAGGAGAAAACGACUUUGAACAUCUAGAGCAGUGGUUCUCAACGCCCACAGGGGUCUCAUAUCAGAUAUUCUGAGAAUCAGAUAUUUACAUUAUGAUUCACAGCAUUUAGCAAAAUUAUAGUUACGAAGUAGCAGUGAAAUAAUGCUAUGGUUGCCGGGUCACCACAACAUUAGGAACUGUGUUAAAGGGCCACAGCAUUAGGAAAAUUGAGAACCACUGACCUAGAAUAAAACAUUCAGGAAGAGAAGGUAGAGUGUCCCUCUUAGAAGAGAUAGAAAUUGAGUAUUGGUAACAUGGCGUCAGCCAUCUUAGCCUGACCGAGUAGAGGCCAAGAGGUUUUAAUGACAGAGGCUAGGAAGGCUUUCUUAAAGCACCUGAAGGAGUGUCUCAAAAACAACAACAAUGAGGGGUGGCUGGAGAGCCAGCUCAGUAGUUAGGAACACUGACUGCUCUUCCAGAGGAGUUUGCCUCUGUUCCCGGCCCCCACAUCAUCGCUAACAACUGUCACUAACUCCCAUCCCAAAGGAAUCCCUUUUCUGCCCUUCACAGAUGUUGCAUGUAUGUGGUAAACAGACACACAUGCAUGCAAGACAUCCAUACACAUAAAAUAUUU